UACGGAGGGUGCAAGCGUUAUCCGGAUUUACUGGGUUUAAAGGGUGCGUAGGCGGGCCUUUAAGUCAGUGGUGAAAGCUCCGAGCUUAACUCGGAAACUGCCAUUGGUACUAUUGGUCUUGAAUUCGGUCGAGGUUGGCGGAAUGUGUCGUGUAGCGGUGAAAUGCUUAGAUAUGACACAGAACACCGAUUGCGAAGGCAGCUAGCUAGACCGACAUUGACGCUGAGGCACGAAAGCGUGGGGAUCAAACAGG
rnacentral:rRNA from 1 species